AUGAACGCUAGCGGCAGGCUUAACACAUGCAAGUCGAGGGGCAGCGAGAUUGAAGCUUGCUUCAAUUGUCGGCGACCGGCGGACGGGUGCGUAACGCGUAUGCAACCUACCCAUAACAGGGGGAUAACACUGAGAAAUUGGUACUAAUACCCCAUAACAUCUCGAGUGGCAUCACUUGGGGUUGAAAGCUUCGGUGGUUAUGGAUGGGCAUGCGUUGUAUUAGCUAGUUGGUGAGGUAACGGCUCACCAAGGCGACGAUACAUAGGGGGACUGAGAGGUUAACCCCCCACAUUGGUACUGAGACACGGACCAAACUCCUACGGGAGGCAGCAGUGAGGAAUAUUGGUCAAUGGACGGAAGUCUGAACCAGCCAUGCCGCGUGCAGGAUGACGGCUCUAUGAGUUGUAAACUGCUUUUGUACGAGGGUAAACCCGAAUACGUGUAUUCGGCUGAAAGUAUCGUACGAAUAAGGAUCGGCUAACUCCGUGCCAGCAGCCGCGGUAAUACGGAGGAUCCAAGCGUUAUCCGGAUUUAUUGGGUUUAAAGGGUGCGUAGGCGGUUAGAUAAGUUAGAGGUGAAAUUCCGGUGCUUAACACCGGCGCUGCCUCUAAUACUGUUUGACUAGAGAGUAGUUGCGGUAGGCGGAAUGUAUGGUGUAGCGGUGAAAUGCUUAGAGAUCAUACAGAACACCGAUUGCGAAGGCAGCUUACCAAGCUAUAUCUGACGUUGAGGCACGAAAGCGUGGGGAGCAAACAGGAUUAGAUACCCUGGUAGUCCACGCAGUAAACGAUGAUAACUCGUUGUCGGCGAUACAAUGUCGGUGACUAAGCGAAAGCGAUAAGUUAUCCACCUGGGGAGUACGUUCGCAAGAAUGAAACUCAAAGGAAUUGACGGGGGCCCGCACAAGCAGUGGAGUAUGUGGUUUAAUUCGAAGCAACGCGAAGAACCUUACCAGGUCUUGACAUCCGAUGCAUAACACAGAGAUGUGUGAAAUCCUUCGGGACAUCGAGACAGGUGGUGCAUGGUUGUCGUCAGCUCGUGCCGUGAGGUGUCGGGUUAAGUCCCAUAACGAGCGCAACCCCUACCGUUAGUUGCCAUCAGGUAAAGCUGGGCACUCUAGCGGGACUGCCGGUGUAAGCCGAGAGGAAGGUGGGGAUGACGUCAAAUCAGCACGGCCCUUACGUCCGGGGCUACACACGUGUUACAAUGGUAGGUACAGAGGGCAGCUACCCUGCGAAGGGAUGCGAAUCUCGAAAGCCUAUCUCAGUUCGGAUUGGAGGCUGAAACCCGCCUCCAUGAAGUUGGAUUCGCUAGUAAUCGCGCAUCAGCCAUGGCGCGGUGAAUACGUUCCCGGGCCUUGUACACACCGCCCGUCAAGCCAUGGGAGCUGGGGGUGCCUGAAGUUCGUGACCGCAAGGAGCGACCUAGGGCAAAACCGGUAACUGGGGCU
rnacentral:rRNA from 1 species